rnacentral:lncRNA from 1 species
AAAAAAAAUUCCAGUGAGCAGAGAGAAAAGUCGCCCCUCCAAUCCUCACACACGAAAUGAGGACGCCUGGCGCCUGCAGCGGGGUCAAAUGAGGUCAGAGGAGCUUAUCUCUCCGUGUGCCUGGAAUUAAGGGCAUCCCAGGACAGCUGCGGAGCAGGAGGUUCCCGGGCCUCCUCCACAUAAGCGGGUUAAGAUCCCAGGACUCGCGUGCAAAAAAAGAUCUUCAGGAAAAUGGUGGUGGUUUAGUUCUUUUACCAAAAAAAAAGGCUGCAGAUGGUUUCUCUGAUGAAGGAAGCUCUCAAGAAGGACAAAGAAUAAUUGUCGAAAAGUUUGUUCUAUGUCUCUUUCAGAAUCAAUUCUCAGCAAGCAAAAACCCAAACCACUGCUGAAAGCAAGAACCUACCUCCUUCAAUUACAGUCCCCAAUCCCGAGUUGGGGACAAAGAGAAACGCCAUCGGGGCGUGCAACUCUCCCGGAGGAACCCCGAAAUCCGAGGGGCUCGGCCAGCUGGCCCCGGAGCGCCCCAGGGCCGGCUCUUUCAGGGUCAGGCUAUGCCAGAGGGCAGUUGAACAUCUGCCCAGCAGCUUAUGGGAAGGAUGUGCACUUCCCUCUGUCAGGAACAGAGAUCAGGGGUGCCAGCUGCCACUGGGAACCUUGCCUGGUGUCCAGGCACCGUGGGGAUUUGCCAGGUGGCUCUGAGAAGAUGACCACUCUGAGUCAUUUUCUUCUUUUACUCCAACACUGCCAGUAUUUGACCAGGAGAGGGUUUGGAAGAUGUCAAGAGGAUUCAACAACUAUUUAGUGAGCUCUGACUCUGUGCCAGGCCUUUGUGUAGGCACUGGGGCUACAGCAAGGAACUUGCACAGUGAGACAGACUCUUGAGGAACGGAAGCAAGAAUGGGUGGUUGGAGCUCACAGUAUGCCCUGACCUCAACUUACCAAGUGGGAGCCAUAUCUCCAUUAAUAAGGGUCCUGCUAGGCACAGAACUUCAGUAUGGGCAUUCUUGGGGGCAAACCAGAAAAUCCCAGGGUUUGGGAAUGUUUCAAGCAAACAGUCUGGAUUCAAGACCCAGGACCAGGGAUUGGACCAAAAGGAAUGACCCCACAAGAGACAAACAGAAUGAUGCAUUGCCUCUAAGCAAUGUCCUGGGAAAAGGCAACAGGCCUUGCCCGGGAAGCCAGGGAACUUGAGGGAUGGACACAAAAACAACAGCUCUGGUCAUGGCUGUGACUUGGCUAUAAGUUAACUUUAUGGGUCACUGAGUCUGGAAACAGACUAUAAAAAGAAGACAGCAUGGACCAAGCAGCUUUGUGUUGGAAAUGGCUGUGACCAGUUGCUUCUGGAAGGGAGAUGCAUUGACUGCCAUAAAACUUGAUGGGCUCAGCACUGGUCUGUAAAGGCUGGAAUCGGAAGUAAACUUUGGACCUGAGUAAUUGCUCGGAAGCUGUGCUUAAGCGUGGGAGCCGAGGGGAUUUUGUUCCAAGCAGUAAACAAUAUGGUACCUAACUGAUGCAUAUGAUCUGCCUUCUCUGUGACCUCUACUCCCAAAGUCCUGUCUGCAGGCAGCUCCUUUAGGUUAAUCUCACAGUCCACACAAAUUGGUACCAUUUGACUUUUACUACAAUGGCUUUAUUAAAACAAACAAAAAACCUCCUUGUUGUUCCCGAAACAUUUAAGGUAAAACAAAAUGAAAACAUCAACCUUGGAGACUUGCUAUCCUUAACUAUCUCUUCUGGAGGAAACAAAAAUGCGUUACAUUUUAUGUUACCUUUUCUCCAACCAUUCAACUCUAGCCUCCUCCAGCUACUCAACAAUUAUUUAUACAAAGCACAGACUUUCAUGUCACCUGGUGCCAGAAAGCAGACCAUCCACAGUUGGAAGCAAUGAAUAAAACAAGAUUCUGCCAGAAAUAUUUC